AAAGAUAUAAUAUAUACGAAAAUUUUAGAAAAUUUAGUAAUGUAAUAUUAUUUUCCCUAAAAUAUUCCUUUUACAAUAUAAACGCUUCAAUAAUAAUUUGUAAUGGUCUUACGUAAAUGAGAAAAACAAAGUAAAAUCAAGCAUAAUAUAAUAUUAAUAUGUACUUAAAGAAAACGUAGUACUGAUAUUCGAUUGGGUUUAUCACGACUAUAAAAUAAUAAUUUUACUGACGUCUUAACAUAUAUUUAAAAAAUUACAAUUAUUAUUCGAGUAAUAUAUAUUUAAAAAAAAAAAAUUCAUAUUAUUUACUAUAUUGUUAGUAAUUUAAAACUAAUAACAGUUUAUUUGAGGGGCCUGAGCGAAUGACCUGAUUUUUCGCAAAAAACAUGCUUUACAAGAUAAACUAUUAUGCCUCGUAGAGAUCGAUUUCGAUCAUCUGUUUUUUGCAGUAAAAAGAGUACCACUGAUUAUUGCAGGGUGCAUUGGAUUUGGAUUUUGAAAAUGAUAUCUUUAAUCGUUAUAAAUUUUAAUUCAAAUUUGAACAUGACCAAUUUUUACCGGUUUUUCAAACACAUUUUUUCGGGGGUUAUCGGUUAAACAAUCAAAAUCGUUUAAGUACGUUUUAAGAGAAACAACAGGUCACCCGAAGGUCUCUCACAAUUACAAUUUAAAAAUGAUAAACUAUAUGUUAAGAGCUUUUAUAACAUUUUUAACUGUAUAAAUGUUAACAACUUAGUAAAAAGUCACGAGCAGAACUCUUAAAGACUAUAAUAAUUUACACAAAUCAAAAAAAAAAUAUUGUAAAAUAAUGUUGCAGUUGUGUUAAUCGCAGACAAUCGUUUUCGUAUUAUGAUUUAUGAAUAUUUAGAUUUUAUAAAUCUUGCGAUUACAUCCUUUAGAAUCGAUUAAUAAUAUAAUUAAUUUCUGGCAUGAUUUCCAUACGAAUGGAUUUUUUAUUUGAAAACAUGCAUAAUUUAUAAAUCAAACCGAGUUAGCAUACAUUAAACAUACCAAUAGUAUAUUCCUACAUCUUGGGAGUCGUUGAAAUCCCUUGAAAAAUCCGUAUUCCGAUGUUUUCGUUUGAUAAUAAUAGUCUAACGCAAUCCGAAACGAAAUUCCAGUCGGAUAAAUACUGCAAAAGUUUUUUUUCUAUUUUUCCGUCUUACCUGAAGUUUGUUCAAGUACAAAACGAAAUUGUCAAACCCACAUACUUAGAUUUAUAACGAAAUUUUUGAGAUAUUAAUAUUUUUACCGAAAUAAAAAAGUCGAGUUAUAAGUUGUUUUUUGAUUUUGCUCUUCGAAACUUUUACUUCGACUCAAGCGUUUGUCGAUUUUCUCUACAUUUAUAUCAAUUAUAUAUAAAUAAUUUUUAACAUUGACAGUAACUGGUCUGAUGGAAAUAAAAAUAUUGUUACACGAUUCAGGCCACUUUUUUUCUCGCUUCGUUAAAAAAAAAAAAAUAAAAAAAAAUAUCCAAUCUACCCUUUUUAUUUUUCAGUCAUACCCUGUUAUCUUCCCUUUCUCUGAUUAUUAAAAGCAUUUCCUACAAAAUGCAUGGAGUAGCCAUAUUACAUUAUAAAACCAUGAUUUUAUAUACCUUAUCAGUUAUCCAUAAUAUAACUAUUAACCUGUACUAACCGCUGUGCAAAAAACCCAUUCGAGUAAAUUCGUUUUAUAUAAUUCGUUAUUUUCCGUAAAACCAAGUUUUUUUUUUACCUAUUAUCAUAAUAAUUCUGUAAAAUGGCUAUCAACGGAAGUUCGUCAUUCUUCAUUCUUUUUGCCAUACUAUACAGUCUACCCGAAUUUAGUUAAAAGUAUUUAUCGUACAAUAUUUAGUAUUCCACUGGACACACGGUAAGCAGAAUCAUUGUCCACAGACAGUAUACUUAACUGCAUUCCCAUUUAGAUAUAAAAAACCUUAUUUAAAAUGGCCUGUAAUAUGCGAUUGAAUAUUCCGAAAUAAUUUAUUUAUCGAUUAUUUAGGUAAUACUUUUAUUUUACAAAAUAAUAAUGGCAUUAGACCAUAUUCGUAUUUUACAAAAAAAAUAAAAGAAACAUAAUAAUUAUAAAAAAUUAUUAUUGGUAUUAAAAAGGAGCUAUAUCGCCUAUAGCUAACGGGAGAAAUACGAUUCGGGUUUUGCGGGUUGCCUAUACGUUCCCGUUUACGGGGAAAUUUUCGUAACGACGAAAAUUCCAAAAGUCUUUGCGGACGCGAAGGGACGAAAAAUCGAGGCGGCCCGAACAAACAUUGUAAUUAUUGUACCGUCGAAAAACAAUAACAAAACUUGUAUAAUACAAUAAUAAUAUACGA